rnacentral:rRNA from 1 species
UACGGAGGGAGCUAGCGUUGUUCGGAAUUACUGGGCGUAAAGCGCACGUAGGCGGCUUUGUAAGUUAGAGGUGAAGGCCCGGGGCUCAACCCCGGAAUUGCCUUUAAGACUGCAUCGCUUGAAUCCGGGAGAGGUGAGUGGAAUUCCGAGUGUAGAGGUGAAAUUCGUAGAUAUUCGGAAGAACACCAGUGGCGAAGGCGGCUCACUGGACCGGUAUUGACGCUGAGGUGCGAAAGCGUGGGGAGCAAACAGG